rnacentral:rRNA from 1 species
UACGUAGGGGGCAAGCGUUGUCCGGAAUCAUUGGGCGUAAAGCGCGUGUAGGCGGCUCGAUAAGUCUGCUGUGAAAGUCCAAGGCUCAACCUUGGGAUGCCGGUGGAUACUGUCGAGCUCGAGUCCGGAAGAGGAGUGUGGAAUUCCUGGUGUAGCGGUGAAAUGCGCAGAUAUCAGGGAGACACCAAUGGCGAAGGCAGCACUCUGGGACGUGACUGACGCUGAGACGCGAAAGCGUGGGGAGCAAACAGG